rnacentral:rRNA from 1 species
GAUGAACGCUGGCGGCGUGCCUAAUACAUGCAAGUCGAGCGAACGGACGAGAAGCUUGCUUCUCUGAUGUUAGCGGCGGACGGGUGAGUAACACGUGGAUAACCUACCUAUAAGACUGGGAUAACUUCGGGAAACCGGAGCUAAUACCGGAUAAUAUUUUGAACCGCAUGGUUCAAAAGUGAAAGACGGUCUUGCUGUCACUUAUAGAUGGAUCCGCGCUGCAUUAGCUAGUUGGUAAGGUAACGGCUUACCAAGGCAACGAUGCAUAGCCGACCUGAGAGGGUGAUCGGCCACACUGGAACUGAGACACGGUCCAGACUCCUACGGGAGGCAGCAGUAGGGAAUCUUCCGCAAUGGGCGAAAGCCUGACGGAGCAACGCCGCGUGAGUGAUGAAGGUCUUCGGAUCGUAAAACUCUGUUAUUAGGGAAGAACAUAUGUGUAAGUAACUGUGCACAUCUUGACGGUACCUAAUCAGAAAGCCACGGCUAACUACGUGCCAGCAGCCGCGGUAAUACGUAGGUGGCAAGCGUUAUCCGGAAUUAUUGGGCGUAAAGCGCGCGUAGGCGGUUUUUUAAGUCUGAUGUGAAAGCCCACGGCUCAACCGUGGAGGGUCAUUGGAAACUGGGAAACUUGAGUGCAGAAGAGGGAAAGUGGAAUUCCAUGUGUAGCGGUGAAAUGCGCAGAGAUAUGGAGGAACACCAGUGGCGAAGGCGACUUUCUGGUCUGUAACUGACGCUGAUGUGCGAAAGCGUGGGGAUCAAACAGGAUUAGAUACCCUGGUAGUCCACGCCGUAAACGAUGAGUGCUAAGUGUUAGGGGGUUUCCGCCCCUUAGUGCUGCAGCUAACGCAUUAAGCACUCCGCCUGGGGAGUACGACCGCAAGGUUGAAACUCAAAGGAAUUGACGGGGACCCGCACAAGCGGUGGAGCAUGUGGUUUAAUUCGAAGCAACGCGAAGAACCUUACCAAAUCUUGACAUCCUUUGACAACUCUAGAGAUAGAGCCUUCCCCUUCGGGGGACAAAGUGACAGGUGGUGCAUGGUUGUCGUCAGCUCGUGUCGUGAGAUGUUGGGUUAAGUCCCGCAACGAGCGCAACCCUUAAGCUUAGUUGCCAUCAUUAAGUUGGGCACUCUAAGUUGACUGCCGGUGACAAACCGGAGGAAGGUGGGGAUGACGUCAAAUCAUCAUGCCCCUUAUGAUUUGGGCUACACACGUGCUACAAUGGACAAUACAAAGGGCAGCGAAACCGCGAGGUCAAGCAAAUCCCAUAAAGUUGUUCUCAGUUCGGAUUGUAGUCUGCAACUCGACUACAUGAAGCUGGAAUCGCUAGUAAUCGUAGAUCAGCAUGCUACGGUGAAUACGUUCCCGGGUCU